CUCUGGUCAUAACACCCCGAACCCACCUGAUAUCUGAUAUCAGAAGACAAGCAGGGUCAGGCCUGGUUAGUAUUAGUUGGGAGUAAUUUUUGAUGGGUACAGAUGAAAGGAGAAGGUGAGACGCAGAGU
rnacentral:rRNA from 1 species